AUUGAACGCUGGCGGCAUGCCUUACACAUGCAAGUCGAACGGCAGCGCGGACUUCGGUCUGGGGGCGAGUGGCGAACGGGUGAGUAAUACAUCGGAACGUACCCUGUUGUGGGGGAUAACUAGUCGAAAGAUUAGCUAAUACCGCAUACGACCUGAGGGUGAAAGUGUGGGAGCGCAAGGCCUCACGCUGCAGGAGCGGUCGGAGUCUGAUUAGCUAGUUGGUGGGGUAAAGGCCCACCAAGCCGACGAUCAGUAGCUGGUCUGAGAGGACGAUCAGCCACACUGGGACUGAGACACGGCCCAGACUCCUACGGGAGGCAGCAGUGGGGAAUUUUGGACAAUGGGGGCAACCCUGAUCCAGCAAUGCCGCGUGUGUGAAGAAGGCCUUCGGGUUGUAAAGCACUUUUGUCCGGAAAGAAAUCGCGCUGGUUAAUACCUGGCGUGGAUGACGGUACCGGAAGAAUAAGCACCGGCUAACUACGUGCCAGCCGCCGCCGUAA
rnacentral:rRNA from 1 species